rnacentral:rRNA from 1 species
AACCUUCACACUGCACGCCAGUGCGAUAAGGGGACUCCAAGUGCGAGGGCAUAUAGUCCUCGCUUUUCUGGACCGUAAGGAGGUCCAGGAACAAGGGCUGGGCAAGACCGGUGCCAGCCGCCGCGGUAAUACCGGCAGCCCAAGUGAUGGCCGCUCUUAUUGGGCCUAAAGCGUCCGUAGCUGGCCAGGCAAGUCCGUCGGGAAAUCCGCGUGCCCAACACGCGGGCGUCCGGUGGAAACUGCCUGGCUUGGGACCGGAAGACCAGAGGGGUACGUCCGGGGUAGGAGUGAAAUCCCGUAAUCCUGGACGGACCACCGGUGGCGAAAGCGCCUCUGGAAGACGGAUCCGACGGUGAGGGACGAAAGCUCGGGUCACGAACCGGAUUAGAUACCCGGGUAGUCCGAGCUGUAAACGAUGUCUGCUAGGUGUGACACAGGCUACGAGCCUGUGUUGUGCCGUAGGGAAGCCGUGAAGCAGAUCGCCUGGGAAGUACGUCCGCAAGGAUGAAACUUAA